rnacentral:rRNA from 1 species
AUCGGUUUUACCCGAAGCCGGUGAGCUAACUCGCAAGAGAAGCAGCCGUCUACGGUAGAGCCGAUGAUUGGGGUGAAGUCGUAACAAGGUAGCCGUAGGUGAACCUGCAGAAGGAUCA